AAGCCGCGCUAGCGUCAAAUUUCGGCUUGAUCCCACUAGGCGCGUGUGCGCUGCGUUCCGGCUCCCGGAGCUGAUCGCAGCCACUCUAAUCAAUGUUUGUAAUCCCACCGGGCGAGCCGCGGCCAGAAGCGACUCUCCGCUCCGCUGUGCUAAAGAUACGCGCCCAGUCUAUUUUUGACCGAAGCCGCGUCAAGUUGCACAGAUCAAGCUGGGCAAAUACACCAGCAAGACUUACACGGCCACCUCAUCACUUCAAGCAUUCAUAGCCCCAUCCCACACCAUGGUCAUCUCACGUCUUACAAUAACACACUACAGGACUAGUCAUUCUGCCUGUGGUGACGAGCAGAGAGAGUCUUCAGUCGCUGGGAGAGAAAAUCACCAAACAAUUAAGACAUGUGGCUACAAUUUGAAUUAGAUUAUUAACACAGGACUGCAGUGGAUCAAGUACAGCUGAGUGAUAUUCACAUGGAGUCCUGUUAACAGCAGCGAGCAAAAGACUCCAGUAAACCUGAGAAUAUGAGUCUCGAAGCUUUCACAAGAGUUCUUGGGAGUUGAAGUCACAUGCAACUGUAACCAUCAGACAUUACUCCAUACAGCCAGUGAUCCAGGGGAUCUCCAUAACAGAACCAGCUGGGGUUGCUGGAAGAUUUGAG